AGAGUUUGAUCCUGGCUCAGGUAAGUCGCAGCCGGGUUGCCGCUCACAUUUUGAUCCUGGGUCAAGAAUUCUUACCUGCGUAACCGCGGGCUCCGUCAAGUGGCGGACGGGUGGGUAACGCGUAGGAAUCUGCCCAGUAGUGGGGGACAACCAGGGGAAACCCUGGCUAAUACCGCAUACACUGUACGGAGAAAAGGCGGCCUCUUCUUGAAAGCUUUCGCUAUUGGCUGAGCCUGCGUGAGAUUAGCUAGUUGGUAGGGUAAAGGCCUACCAAGGCGACGAUCUCUAGCUGGUCUGAGAGGACGAUCAGCCACACUGGGACUGAGACACGGCCCAGACUCCUACGGGAGGCAGCAGUGGGGAAUAUUGGACAAUGGGCGCAAGCCUGAUCCAGCAAUACCGCGUGUGUGAAGAAGGCCUGAGGGUUGUAAAGCACUUUCAAUUGUGAAGAAAAGCCUGAGGUUAAUAGCCUCGAGUCUUGACGUUAACUAUAGAAGAAGCACCGGCUAACUCUGUGCCAGCAGCCGCGGUAAUACAGAGGGUGCGAGCGUUAAUCGGAAUUACUGGGCGUAAAGCGCGCGUAGGCGGCCUGAUAAGUUGGAUGUGAAAGCCCUGGGCUCAACCUAGGAACUGCAUUCAAAACUGUCAGGCUAGAGUAUGGUAGAGGAUAGUGGAAUUUCCGGUGUAGCGGUGAAAUGCGUAGAGAUCGGAAGGAACAUCAGUGGCGAAGGCGGCUAUCUGGACCAAUACUGACCUGAGGUGCGAAAGCGUGGGGAGCAAACAGGAUUUAGAUCCCCUGGUAGUCCACGCCGUAAACGAUGUCAACUAGCCGUUGGAGGGCUUGUCCCUUUAGUGGCGCAGCUAACGCGAUAAGUUGACCGCCUGGGGAGUACGGCCGCAAGGUUAAAACUCAAAUGAAUUGACGGGGACCCGCACAAGCGGUGGAGCAUGUGGUUUAAUUCGAUGCAACGCGAAGAACCUUACCUGGGCUUGACAUACACGGAACUUUCCAGAGAUGGAUUGGUGCCUUCGGGAACCGUGAUACAGGUGCUGCAUGGCUGUCGUCAGCUCGUGUCGUGAGAUGUUGGGUUAAGUCCCGUAACGAGCGCAACCCUUAUCCUUAUUUGCCAGCACGUAAUGGUGGGAACUAUAAGGAGACUGCCGGUGAUAAGCCGGAGGAAGGCGGGGACGACGUCAAGUCAUCAUGCCCCUUACGACCAGGGCUACACACGUGCUACAAUGGGAAGAACAAAGGGUCGCUAAGCCGCGAGGUGGUGCUAAUCUCAUAAAUCUUUUCGUAGUCCGGAUUGGAGUCUGCAACUCGACUCCAUGAAGUCUCAGGAAACUAGCUAUGACCAAGAAUACGCCUAGGUUGGUCA
rnacentral:rRNA from 1 species